rnacentral:tRNA from 1 species
GGAGGUCUGGGUGAGUGGUUUAAACCAGCAGUCUUGAAAACUGCCGAGGAUGUGAGUCCUCCGUGAGUUCGAAUCUCACGGCCUCCG